GUACAGUCUCUCCCUCUCUCUCUCCAUACACACAGUAUUAGUGUCAGUGCGCACUAUACACUGUGUAUCCAUGUUACAUACUAUGUGUACUGUCUCUCCCUCUCUCUCCAUACACACAGUAUUAGUGUCAGUGCGCACUAUACACUGUGUAUCCAUAUUACAUACUAUGUGUACAGUCUCUCCCUCUCUCUCUCCAUACACACAGAAUUAGUGUCAGUGCGCACUAUACACUGUGUAUCCAUGUUACAUACUAUGUGUACAGUCUCUCCCUCUCUCUCCAUACACACAGUAUUAGUGUCAGUGCGCACUAUACACUGUGUAUCCAUAUUACAGACUAUGUGUACAGUCUCUCCCUCUCUCUCCAUACACACAGUAUUAGUGUCAGUGCGCACUAUACACUGUGUAUCCAUGUUACAGACUAUGUGUACAGUCUCUCCCUCUCUCUCUCCAUACACACAGUAUUAGUGUCAGUGCGCACUAUACACUGUGUAUCCAUGUUACAUACUAUGUGUACUGUCUCUCCCUCUCUCUCCAUACACACAGUAUUAGUGUCAGUGCGCACUAUACACUGUGUAUCCAUGUUACAGACUAUGUGUACUGUCUCUCCCUCUCUCUCCAUACACACAGUAUUAGUGUCAGUGCGCACUAUACACUGUGUAUCCAUGUUACAUACUAUGUGUACAGUCUCUCCCUCUCUCUCCAUACACACAGUAUUAGUGUCAGUGCGCACUAUACACUGUGUAUCCAUAUUACAGACUAUGUGUACAGUCUCUCCCUCUCUCUCCAUACACACAGUAUUAGUGUCAGUGCGCACUAUACACUGUGUAUCCAUAUUACAGACUAUGUGUACUGUCUCUCCCUCUCUCUCCAUACACACAGUAUUAGUGUCAGUGCGCACUAUACACUGUGUAUCCAUGUUACAUACUAUGUGUACUGUCUCUCCCUCUCUCUCUCCAUACACACAGUAUUAGUGUCAGUGCGCACUAUACACUGUGUAUCCAUAUUACAUACUAUGUGUACAGUCUCUCCCUCUCUCUCCAUACACACAGUAUUAGUGUCAGUGCGCACUAUACACUGUGUAUCCAUAUUACAGACUAUGUGUACAGUCUCUCCCUCUCUCUCCAUACACACAGUAUUAGUGUCAGUGCGCACUAUACACUGUGUAUCCAUGUUACAUACUAUGUGUACAGUCUCUCCCUCUCUCUCCAUACACACAGAAUUAGUGUCAGUGCGCACUAUACACUGUGUAUCCAUAUUACAUACUAUGUGUACAGUCUCUCCCUCUCUCUCCAUACACACAGUAUUAGUGUCAGUGCGCACUAUACACUGUGUAUCCAUAUUACAUACUAUGUGUACAGUCUCUCCCUCUCUCUCCAUACACACAGUAU